CCAGGAGGAGUGGAAAGCUUUUGCUUGACCAAAGUCCCCUUUUUUGCCUCUCCCACCAAGGUCCGUGCAGGACUCUGCUCAUCAACAGGAAGUUUGUUCUUUCUUUUUGAUAGAGGAUGCCAUGGCUUUGCUUCAGAGGAAUGUUUCCUGCCAUAUUUACAAAAGUCAUGGCAAGAACCAGUGGAAGGCUUUUGCUCAACUCCUGUCACCUUCUUUUUCUCUCCCAUCAUACUCCCAGGAGGAGUGGAAAGCUUUUGCUUGACCAAAGUCCCCUUUUUUGCCUCUCCCACCAAGGUCCGUGCAGGACUCUGCUCAUCAGAAGGAAGUUUGUUCUUUCUUUUUGAUAGAGGAUGCCAUGGCUUUGCUCCAGAGGAAUGUUUCCUACCAUAUUUACAGAAGUCAUGGAGUCAUGGCAAGAACCAGUGGAAGGCUUUUGCUCAACUCCUGUCACCUUCUUUUUCUCUCCCAGCACACUCCCAGGAAAAGUGGAAAGCUUUUGCUUGACCAAAGUCCCCUUUUUUGCCUCUCCCACCAAGGUCCGUGUAGGACUCUGCUCAUCAGAAGGAAGUUUGUUCUUUCUUUUUGAUAGAGGAUGCCAUGGCUUUGCUUCAGAGGAAUGUUUCCUACCAUAUUUACAGAAGUCAUGGCAAGAACUAGUGGAAGCUCUCAGAUAAUGAGGAAUAACAUCUUGUCCGCUAUCAGGAGCAUUCAACUUCCC
rnacentral:lncRNA from 1 species